AUUGAACGCUGGCGGCAUGCCUUACACAUGCAAGUCGAACGGCAGCACGGGUGCUUGCACCUGGUGGCGAGUGGCGAACGGGUGAGUAAUAUAUCGGAACGUACCUUAUUGUGGGGGAUAACGCAGCGAAAGCUGUGCUAAUACCGCAUAAUCCCUAAGGGGGAAAGCGGGGGACCGUAAGGCCUCGCGCAAUUAGAGCGGCCGAUACCUGAUUAGCUAGUUGGUGAGGUAAAGGCUCACCAAGGCAACGAUCAGUAGCUGGUCUGAGAGGACGAGCAGCCACACUGGGACUGAGACACGACCCAGACUCCUACGGGAGGCAGCAGUGGGGAAUUUUGGACAAGGGGGGCAACCCUGAUCCAGCAAUGCCGCGUGAGUGAAGAAGGCCUUCGGGUUGUCAAGCUCUUUUGUCAGGGAAGAAACAGCAGCUCUAACACAGUUUGCGAAUGACGGUACCUGAAGAAUAAGCACCGGCUAACUACGUGCCAGCAGCCGCCGUAA
rnacentral:rRNA from 1 species